AUCCCGCGCAGCCCCCGACCCCGCGUGGCCCCCUGACCCUGCACAGUCCCGGGACCCCGUGUACCCCGCCCCCUGUGCGCAGCCUGGGACCCCGCGCAGACCCUGGACCCGGCUCUGGGCCUCCUUCUGGGUCAUAGUGGCAGCACCUGUUAAUCUUGGAUCAACCCUGCAAGAUGGAUAUUAUGUCCAUUUGUCAGGAAAAGUGGCGAAACAGUGUCUCAACUAGGACUUCUAGCUCCCAGAGACCCUCUUCAGCAUCUUGGAAACCUGAAAAUGAAGUAUCACCCCUGGGAGAUGGAAAUACUGCAUUCUGUUCUUGGCCUUGUUUUGUUGGCGUGGAAGAUUGUUUGCAGAAUGGAACCUGUGAUCAUUGCCGCAGAAAUAAGCCCAGAAUAUCUUGCUGAAUGAUGCAGGACUAAAGGCCACCAACCAGCCAGCUGCCACAUAUGCAAGUGAAGCCAUUGACCCCCAGCUGCCACAGAUGCCUGCAUGAGCCCAGCUGAAUUCAGCAGAAGAACUACCCAGCUGAAACUUGCCCACUUUGCUGACCUACAGAUCAUGGGCUAAACAAACCAUUGUUUUAAGCCACUGAGGUUUGGUGUGGUUUGCUAUGUAUCAACAGAUAACUGAUAUAAAUGGUUUCACCACUGCAGAGGAGCCUGGAUGGCCGGAACUCUCCCUGGCAGCCCUGGCACCAUGACCUGUUGGGUCCUCAUCUAAAGAGGAUUCUACAGCAGAUUCUGGCUGGCCAGGGCCUAUGAGAAUGAGACAGUAGGCAGCACUUUGAUUCAGUGCCUAUUGCCUACAAAUUCCAUACCCAUUCUGGACACAUUCAACAACGUUGCAGACCACGGUCCCUGUACUGGAAGGUUUGCAAGCCUUACCAUCCAAGUUUUGCAAACAAAUGCUCUAGGGAACAAGAGAAAACAAAGGGGCUACAAUACAGCUAAGGCUUCUGGUCUUCUGACCACUUGGGCCACCUACUCCAUUCUUUGUAAUCCAAAAGGGUGGAAAGAACGCCAUCCCUGAACUGAAUGUCUAGGGUUAACUCAGCGCCAAACACUUGUUCCUAACAGCCCGAUCAAUGUCUCAUGCUAAGAAGAAAGGUACUGUCUGCCAAUAUAUUGCCCUCUGGCAAACCAUCUGGUUUCGUUCCAACUUGUCAAUGAAAUAGACUGUAGGCUAAUAGAGUGGGCAUAACUUAGUCCAUCUGCCUUCCUCCGACUCCUGGCCUGUGCCUUGCUCUCAGCUAGCAUUCAGGUGGGAAAGCAGCCGGCCCCUUUCCGAUACCACAUUUAGCUGAGGCUUUCAAGUACUGCUGCAGCUUUGGCGCCUUCCCUGGUUAUUUCAGGCAGUGGGACCAUCAGCAUGCAAGCUGUUGGGAACCAAGGAAUCUUCAUAUUACAGAUCAUGUAUCUUUAAGACAACUCUCUGUGUGACUCUAUUGCUCCUAUUUGCUUUUCUUCUCUGAAGUAAGUCAGCCAGUUAUUAAGGUGUUUAAAAAUAAAACUGGGGAGGAAAAUCAAAGAGUGGCAAGCCUCUACCCUCCUCACCACGU